rnacentral:rRNA from 1 species
CCUACGGGGGGCAGCAGUAGGGAAUCUUCCACAAUGGGCGCAAGCCUGAUGGAGCAACACCGCGUGAGUGAAGAAGGGUUUCGGCUCGUAAAGCUCUGUUGUUGGAGAAGAACGUGCGUGAGAGUAACUGUUCACGCAGUGACGGUAUCCAACCAGAAAGUCACGGCUAACUACGUGCCAGCAGCCGCGGUAAUACGUAGGGGGCAAGCGUUAUCCGGAUUUAUUGGGCGUAAAGCGAGCGCAGGCGGUUGCUUAGGUCUGAUGUGAAAGCCUCCGGCUUAACCGAAGAAGUGCAUCGGAAACCGGGGAACUUGAGUGCAGAAGAGGACGGUGGAACUCCAUGUGUAGCGGUGGAAUGCGUAGAUAUAUGGAAGAACACCAGUGGCGAAGGCGGCUGUCUGGUCUGCAACUGACGCUGAGGCUCGAAAGCAUGGGUAGCGAACAGGAUUAGAUACCCUGGUAGUC